rnacentral:misc_RNA from 1 species
AAUGUUUUUCAGCUGAACUGGUGAUCCUAAAAUUGACGGAUUUUGAUGUCAUUCUGGGGACGAAUUGGCUCUCAGCCAAUUAUGCCACCUUAGACUAUAGAAACAAAGUAGUAAGGUUUAAGGACUAGAAGGGUUGGAGGUAGUCCUCUAGGGAGAUCAAACGUCAGCAGCGAAGGAGAUUAUCUCCACAAUACAAGGCAAUAAGAUGCUCCGAAAAGGAUGUAAAGGAUUUUAGCCCAUGUUAGAGAAG